UUACGGCCAUAUCACAUUGAAACACUGAUUCCUGUAGGUUCACCGAAGAUAAGCAACGUCGAGACUGGUCAGUACCUAGAUGGGUGACCGCUUGGGAAUACGAGGUGCUGUAA